rnacentral:rRNA from 1 species
UGGGGAAUUUUGGACAAUGGGCGAAAGCCUGAUCCAGCCAUGCCGCGUGUGUGAAGAAGGCCUUCGGGUUGUAAAGCACUUUCAGCGAGGAGGAAGGUGGUGAGCUUAAUACGCUCAUCAAUUGACGUUACUCGCAGAAGAAGCACCGGCUAACUCCGUGCCAGCAGCCGCGGUAAUACGGAGGGUGCAAGCGUUAAUCGGAAUUACUGGGCGUAAAGCGCACGCAGGCGGUUUGUUAAGUCAGAUGUGAAAUCCCCGGGCUCAACCUGGGAACUGCAUUUGAAACUGGCAAGCUAGAGUCUCGUAGAGGGGGGUAGAAUUCCAGGUGUAGCGGUGAAAUGCGUAGAGAUCUGGAGGAAUACCGGUGGCGAAGGCGGCCCCCUGGACGAAGACUGACGCUCAGGUGCGAAAGCGUGGGGCAGCAAACAGGAUUAGAUACCCUGGUAGUCCACGCUGUAAACGAUGUCGAUUUGGAGGUUGUGCCCCUUGAGGCGUGGCUUCCGGAGCUAACGCGUUAAAUCGACCGCCUGGGGAGUACGGCCGCAAGGUUAAAACUCAAAUGAAUUG